rnacentral:rRNA from 1 species
AGGGAACCUUCCGCAAUGGACGAAAGUCUGACGGAGCAACGCCGCGUGAGUGAUGAAGGUUUUCGGAUCGUAAAACUCUGUUGUUAGGGAAGAACAAGUAUCGGAGUAACUGCCGGUACCUUGACGGUACCUAACCAGAAAGCCACGGCUAACUACGUGCCAGCAGCCGCGGUAAUACGUAGGUGGCAAGCGUUGUCCGGAAUUAUUGGGCGUAAAGCGCGCGCAGGUGGUUCCUUAAGUCGGAUGUGAAAGGCCACGGCUCAACCGUGGAGGGUCAUUGGAAACUGGGGAACUUGAGUGCAGAAGAGGAAAGUGGAAUUCCAAGUGUAGCGGUGAAAUGCGUAGAGAUUUGGAGGAACACCAGUGGCGAAGGCGACUUUCUGGUCUGUAACUGACACUGAGGCGCGAAAGCGUGGGGAGCGAAC